AACGCGGAACCCUCGACUUCCGCAAUUUCCCUUUCCCCAUCGUUAUUGCACAGGGUUUGCUCCCCGGCCUUUUGCCCAAGUUGGGGGACAAGCUUGGUGGGGGAGAAGGGAGCCUUCCUUGACUUCGAGUCCUCUCACUGGGACUUCUGGGGGGAAUCUCGGCGGAGCCAGUUUCUCCCGUCCCACUCUCACCCGCGACUUCUUCAUUUCUUAAUGUUAAGCUCAAUUUUCGGAGGCAAGGAAGAUCCUCCGGUUAGGGAAGGGCUCUGUUAAAUUUUCUCCCUUAGAGCCCACUUUUGGACGUCCCCUGCCCCUCCAAGCUUCUCAGUCAGUUUCUGAGGGGUGACUAAGGGAUGAGGCCCCUCGCCCGCCCAGGAGGGUGACGGCUGGCAAGGCCCCCGCCUCAUUGCCCCCCGCCCGCCCAGGGAAGUUUCGCCCACGGAGGACAAGCAGGAUCAUCCCAGCGACCGGAUGGGCACCGGGGCGAAGAAACCCUCCUAGGGGCCGACUCCCGGGAGCCCCCUCCUCUCGGCGCAGCCCUGGCGCGAGCCCAUACUCCCUCCAGGGCUUCCGCAGCAGGCCCCGCCCCGAAUGACGCCACGGGAGGCCACGCCCCUCCAGUAGAGCGCCACUUGGGCUGGAUGAGGUGCUCUAGCCCUGGAGAACCACUGCUUCCCCUUUUACAAAUCGGUAAACUGAGACGUGGAGACACAGAAUGAAUCUGGCCCAUGGGCCUCUUGCUUGAGUCCCCGGAACCCCGAAAGCCAAGGUUUGGAGGUGAGCUUCAUGAGAGCAAGGGUCUUGGUGACUGGCCUGGUUCAUAACUGUGAACAUGUCCUGGAACACAGCAGGUGUCCACUACAUAUUUGCUGAUAGGCAAAUAAUUUUUUAAAUAUGAAAAUGAUUUGGAAUUACUAAUGUAAUUAAAAUUUAGUGAUUGAAACUUUA